UAUAUUUUUAUUCCCGCUCAAGCCACCUUACCGGUGUUGUCUGUAGAGUUCUUAGCAUUAGUUUUUAUCUCCACAGCUUUGUCUUUUAGAACCAGAGGCACUACAUGUCGCUUUGUUAUGGUCAUGAGAACCGCAAAUACUGUAUGUAAUCUGCUUCUUUUUUCUCACAUGCUCCCCAGUUGGCAUCAAUCUUCUACUUUUUUGUAUACUUUUUGGUCUACCUUUCCUGGGAACAACAUAUGGGUUCUUAAGGGAAUCGAGUGCAUCACAUCCGCUAACAGUUUGCAAUGGAGGUCUAUCCACACAUGAUGUGUCUGUAACAUUGCAACCAGACUUAGUGCUCCUACUUGACAUACCAUUCAUUUCCUGUGAAUUUCCUUGUGUGGGGCUAACUCCCACCUGACAUGAAACUCCAUUUCCAAUAUUCAGUUGAUGUUUUGGCCCCAUAGUGUUACCAUUGAUACUGCCCUGUCUGACUACAAUGUUUCUAAUCUCAGAAUGGAUUCUAUCAAGUUCUCCUAUCAUAUAAUUGGUCCUCUCUAGACUCAAGAACUACUGAUCACCCAACUUCCAUAAUCCUUUUUUGAUGUUGGAAUCUGCUCAACUGGCUGCAAAGUAUCACCAGCUAAACAAACCCCAUGAUCAAUUCUUGGUUGAGUAGGAUCAGCGUAGCUGCUUGCAGCUUACUUGAAAUGGAUCAUGUGUAGAUGUAGAUCCAUUGACUGCAAAUCUUCCAUAAUCUCUCUCUGAUGCAAGAAUCUGCCCAUUUUGCUGCAAAUCUUGACUAGCUACAGAACCCCCAUGAUCACUUUUUGAUGGAGCAAGAUCAGUGCAUCUGCUUGUAGUUAUGUACAUGUUAUUCUGCAAAGAUAUAAAAAGAUUAGUAUCUCAAUAAACUUUUUCAGUUCAAAAUCCAUAUUUAUCUUUUUUGGCAUCAACUAAUGAGUUAUUUUUUUGCCAUGCUUACUUCAAAUGAGACAUCAAAGGUGGCAUCAAAAUCACUCGAGGCUGUAAGCAUGUGCACCAGGGAACCAAUAGGAGCCUGCACAAAGAAAACCAUAUGUAUGAUCUCUCUGUAAUAGGAUUGGAAUGUCAUGUUACUCAAACUGCCCUAUGUAUAAACAAGAAGCUCAAAGUUGAAAAGUAUACCACUCAAUAACAAAGCUUACAGAAACAAGUUACAGGUUGACACAGCCACAUCCUCUAUCUAUGUAUUGACACCAGUAUGUAUGUAACUUUUCUGAACCUGUGGGAAAAAAAAGCAAGCACUAACUGUAAUAAGAUUAUUUUUCCCUCCAAUAUAUGGUAGCAGAAAAGUGAUCUCAACACACAGACUACUGAAUCACGUCAAGUUGGAUCUGUCUGCAGAGAAGAAUUCGAUCCUCAAUGAAGAAGAAAUAUACACAACUAGAAGGGAAUCGUCCAUGGCGAGAUGUAGGGGAUGAGAUCUGUUUUUUUGGUUUGUGUGUUGGAGUAGACUUCUCUGUACCUUAUAUAUGGGAAUAUCUCCCACGUCUCAUGUAUGUUUGGCGGCUACAUGGGUAGCCAGUCCCGCCAAUCUCUUUCUUUUUUUUCUGAGCCCAACUGGGAUAAUUUUUUGUUGACAC